UACCAAUGAGCACAAAACUAAUCUUAAACUUAUAUUUAUUUUCAGAAAUGUCAAUAAAUAAUUAUCUAGUUUGACUUGAAGACAUUUAUUUAGUAUUUACAUGUACAAAAAAUCCAGAUUAUAGCGCAGUAAGAACAAAGAGAUUUUGCCUAUGUCAAGUGUUAAGCAACAAUAGACUCAUUUGUUCCUUCAAGGUACCAUAAUUCACUUAGGAGUGAAAUAUAUAACUGAUGGCAACCAGCGGAACAGGAAUGUAAAAACACAUUAAAAAUGUGUUUAUCAACACAUGGACGUCACCUAUGGUAUUGGUUUGAGCGGUGACGUCAUUCAAACGAGAUUUUACUAAACGCAGUGUUUACAAAGUACGAAUACUGAACUACGAUUUUUACUGUAUCUGUCAUGUAUUUCUGAUUUAGAAUGCUAAAUAAAUAAACAAAAAUUUUAA